UACGUAGGGUGCAAGCGUUAAUCGGAAUUACUGGGCGUAAAGCGUGCGCAGGCGGUUUUGUAAGACAGGCGUGAAAUCCCCGGGCUCAACCUGGGAACUGCAUUAGUGACUGUAUAGCUAGAGUGCGGCAGAGGGGGAUGGAAUUCCGCGUGUAGCAGUGAAAUGCGUAGAUAUGCGGAGGAACACCGAUGGCGAAGGCGAACUACCCCUUGGGGCCCUAAGUACCUACGUACGGACCGUCGUACGGUAGUCGGAAACGACCGGUAAAGGGGGACGGUCGGGGAAAACGACGG
rnacentral:rRNA from 1 species